rnacentral:rRNA from 1 species
UACGUAGGGGGCUAGCGUUAUCCGGAAUUACUGGGCGUAAAGGGUGCGUAGGCGGUCUUUCAAGCCAGAAGUGAAAGGCUACGGCUCAACCGUAGUAAGCUUUUGAAACUGGGAAACUUGAGUGCAGGAGAGGAGAGUGGAAUUCCUAGUGUAGCGGUGAAAUGCGUAGAUAUUAGGAGGAACACCAGUUGCGAAGGCGGCUCUCUGGACUGUAACUGACACUGAGGCACGAAAGCGUGGGGAGCAAACAGGAUUAGAUACCCGCGUAGUCCCUGAG